UCACCCCUCAAGCCCCGUGCUUGGUGUUGGACGGCCGGUCGACUCCACAGUCGACCCCUCCGAAAGACAAUGACGGCGGCCUGUGGUUCCCCCGGUACACUGAGCUUCUCACCGAGCACGUACCGGACGAGGGCGCCCGGGACCCGGUCUUCUCCUAGCCACUAGGAACCUUUUUAAU
rnacentral:misc_RNA from 1 species